rnacentral:rRNA from 1 species
AGUCACUGACAUUAGAUACCCGGGUAGUCCAGGGUGUAAACGCUGCAGACUUGGUGUUGGAGGCCCUUUGGGGGCAUUCAGUGCCGGAGAGAAGUUGUUAAGUCUGCUACUUGGGGAGUACGUCCGCAAGGAUGAAACUUAAAGGAGUUGGCGGGGGAGCACCGCAACGGGAGGAGCGUGCGGUUUAAUUGGAUUCAACACCGUAAACUCACCAGGGAAGACUGUUACAUGAAGGCCGAGAUGAAGACUCUGCUAGAUUUUCAG